UACAGAGGGUGCGAGCGUUAAUCGGAAUUACUGGGCGUAAAGCGCACGUAGGCGGCUUUGCAAGUCGGGUGUGAAAUCCCCGGGCUCAACCUGGGAACUGCAUUCGAGACUGCAUUGCUGGAGUAUGGGAGAGGGAAGCGGAAUUUCCGGUGUAGCGGUGAAAUGCGUAGAUAUCGGAAGGAACAUCAGUGGCGAAGGCGGCUUCCUGGACCAAUACUGACGCUCAUGUGCGAAAAGCGUGGGGGAGCAAACAGG
rnacentral:rRNA from 1 species